rnacentral:rRNA from 1 species
GACGAACGCUGGCGGCGUGCUUAACACAUGCAAGUCGAACGAUGAAGUUCCUUCGGGAAUGGAUUAGUGGCGAACGGGUGAGGAACACGUGAGAAACCUGCCUUUCAUAUUGGGAUAACUCCGGGAAACCGGGGCUAAAACCGAAUACUCCGUCUCGGUGGCAUCGCUGAGCCGGGAAAAAAUUUUGAUGAAAGAUGGCCUCGGGGCCUAUCAGCUAGUUGGUGAGGUAAUGGCUCACCAAGGCAACGACGGGUAGCCGGCCGGAGAGGGCGACCGGCCACACUGGGACUGAGACACGGCCCAGACUCCUACGGGAGGCAGCAGUGGGGAAUAUUGGGCAAUGGGCGCAAGCCUGACCCAGCGACGCCGCGUGAGGGAUGAAGGCCUUCGGGUUGUAAACCUCUUUCAGUAGGGAAGAAGCGAAAGUGACGGUACCUAAAGAAGAAGCACCGGCUAACUAUGUGCCAGCAGCCGCCGUAA